UACGUAGGGUGCGAGCGUUGUCCGGAAUUACUGGGCGUAAAGAGCUCGUAGGUGGUUUGUCGCGUUGUCCGUGAAAACUCACAACUCAAUUGUGGGCGUGCGGCGAUACGGGCAGACUGGAGUACUGCAGGGGAGACUGGAAUUCCUGGUGUAGCGGUGGAAUGCGCAGAUAUCUGGAGGAACACCGGUGGCGAAGGCGGCAUCCUGGACCGGCAUUGACGCUGAGGCGCGAAAGCCAGGGGAGCAAAGCGGG
rnacentral:rRNA from 1 species